UUCGUUUAAUAAUUUUAACUUAGUUUGAUCGUUUGAACCGUCGAAUGACAGGAAAUGGUUGGCUCGCUGUUACCACGAAUCUAUCACGCCUGUUUAGCACAGUGUUGCGGAUUUCUUAGCGUACUUGGCUCGGAUCCAGGAAUGAUCAAAGAAUCACGAUUCACCGGACGUGUUUGUGUUUACUGAUCGGUCUCAAACGUUUCUGAUCUUUUUUUAAGCAAAGAGGAUAGCAAAGUGAGUUAAAGUAAAUUGUUCUAAACAUUGUUGCGAAUAUUUGACGAUCACAAUGUGGAAGGUUAGAAAGAGCAGAAGAAACUAACGAAGUCCUAUGUUUCAUCAUGAAAGCAGAAUCCAGUAAAACAUCGUAGUCGACAACGCUAAUUGUAUAAUCACUGUAACACGUGUUAUAACACCUAUACGUACUUUAUACGCACACGUAGACACCUGUAGAGGACCGAGAAACGUUUCUGGAACUUUAUGCCGAGUACACGUAUUACGAAUUGCACCUCUCAAUGCUACAUGAUGUACAAUGGAUUGUACGAAAAAGAUUGAAAUGACUGACUGCUCUGUUUGCAAGGAUUUUAGAUUAUAUAUAAUUAUGAAUUAUAUAAAUUACACGUAUGAGUAACAUACAGGGUGUACCGAAAAUCGUGAUGCAAGUCAAAAGGCGGUGAUUCUCCCAAGAAAAGUAAGUGGAAAAUGUAGAAUGACGACAAUUGCCGAUACAAGCCACCGUUUUCAAGAAAAUCAACUAUGAAAUUCCGUCCACUCGACUGUCGUUACUUUUCAAGUGCACGUAACGUAACUUUAUGGUCGAUUUUUUCGAAGAGACGUAUCACGAUUCUUCACUAAAUUCUGUAUAUAAAAUAUUCAAUGCGAAAUACUCGUUAUAAUAUUCGGUGGGAGAACUAGAUCUCUUAUCUAGGUUCUAUUUUUUAAUUAAAUAUAAAUAUCAGCGUUGUAUUCGGCGCGAAGGAGUUAACACUCAUGCAUACGAUAUAAUAUAUCAGAUUAUAUAGCCUUACAGAGAUAAUAGUUCGACGAAUAGAUCGCCA